AACGAACGCUGGCGGCAGGCCUAACACAUGCAAGUCGAGCGCCCGCAAGGGAGCGGCGGACGGGUGAGUAACGCGUGGGAACGUGCCCUUUGCUACGGAAUAGCCUCGGGAAACUGAGAGUAAUACCGUAUGUGCCCUUCGGGGGAAAGAUUUAUCGGCAAAGGAUCGGCCCGCGUUGGAUUAGGUAGUUGGUGGGGUAAUGGCCUACCAAGCCGACGAUCCAUAGCUGGUUUGAGAGGAUGAUCAGCCACACUGGGACUGAGACACGGCCCAGACUCCUACGGGAGGCAGCAGUGGGGAAUCUUAGACAAUGGGCGCAAGCCUGAUCUAGCCAUGCCGCGUGAGCGAUGAAGGCCUUAGGGUUGUAAAGCUCUUUCGUGGGGGAAGAUAAUGACGGUACCUCAAGAAGAAGCCCCGGCUAACUCCGUGCCAGCCGCCGCUGUAAGAC
rnacentral:rRNA from 1 species